rnacentral:rRNA from 1 species
GACGUAGGGCGCGAGCGUUGUCCGGAUUUAUUGGGCGUAAAGAGCUCGUAGGCGGCUUGUCGCGUCGUUCGUGAAAACCUGUGGCUCAACUACAGGCUUGCGGUCGAUACGGGCAGGCUGGAGUUCGGUAGGGGAGACUGGAAUUCCUGGUGUAGCGGUGAAAUGCGCAGAUAUCAGGAGGAACACCGACGGCGUAGGCAGCGCCCUGGACGACACCUGACGCUGAGGCACGAAAGCUGGGGGAGCGAACAGG